rnacentral:rRNA from 1 species
UACGAAGGGGGCUAGCGUUGUCCGGAAUUAUUGGGCGUAAAGAGCUCGUAGGCGGUUUGUCGCGUCUGCUGUGAAAACUCGGGGCUCAACUCCGAGCUUGCAUUCGAUACGGGCAGGCUAGAGUUCGGUAGGGGAGACUGGAAUUCCUGGUGUAGCGGUGAAAUGCGCAGAUAUCAGGAGGAACACCGGUGGCGAAGGCGGGUCUCUGGGCCGAUACUGACGCUGAGGAGCGAAAGCGUGGGGAGCGAACAGG